UCCCAGUCACCCUCCCUGGAUCCCAGUCUGGGGUGGAGGUGGAGAGGAAGAGCCAAGGCCACCUCACAGGUCACUGGGCAAAUGCUCGACUGCAUUCUGGGGGGAGUCCAAGUCGGAAAAGAGUUCCUGAAGAAGAAAUUUCCACAGCCCUUCCCCCAAGGAGGGAUUUUUCCAUUCUGCCUAGGCAGACAUGCCUCUCAGAGUCCCCAGAGUCUGGCUGUGGCAAGCCUUAGGUCUUGUUGAAUAGCUUAGUCCCCAGCACUGGAGGGGGUGGAGGAGAGGGGCGAGCUUGUAGGAGAGGCAGCACUGACCUAGAAAUGGGAAAAGCGUGGGGAGGGGAGGGUGCCUGGAGGAUGUAGAGCAAAAUAUUCACUCUUGUAGAAGAAUCCCAGCCAGAGAUCAACAGGGAUAGCAAGCAUGAGGGAAGCUUCCUAGAAGAGGGCAGGGAGGAAAGGAAGAGAGAGAUCAGGCCGGCAGCUGCAAGUGCAGAAUGGAAGAGAGGAGGAACCAUAUGGAGCUGUUUGUCAAGGCUUCCAUGAAUGUGAGGACCGUACUGGAUGCAAAGAUUAUGAUGAGGCGGAAGGUGGACUGUGAAGGACGUGCAGCCAGUGCAGGGGCUGACUGUGUAGCUCCCGCACCUCUCCCUCAGAGCAGCACCUGGCUGGCUCCUGAACCCUCAGCAAUGGCUGCUCUUCCCACUGGAGAUUGGGAGUAUCCUGAGAGUCGGGACAUUAUUAUGCUUGUUCUCCACCAAAUCCCCAGAGCCCCUCACAGGGCAGGCUGGAGAGAUGCUGCUGAGAUCCGCUGAACUGCACUUUGGAGUGUCCUGGGUUUCUCUGUAUAUCUUUGGAGAAGGAAUCUCACCAUGUAGCCCUGGCUGGCUUGGAACUCACUAGGCAGACCAAGAAAUUGCAGCAACCCUAUCACCUCAACCUCCUGAGUCCUAACACUGAAGGCAUGGGCCACCAUGCCUGGCUGCAUAGCUUUUUUUUUUUUUUUAACAACUUACAUGUAAAUUAAUUUAAACUAAAUUAAACAUAAA